rnacentral:ncRNA from 1 species
GAGAAGCCGGUGCAAAUCCGGCGCUGACCCGCAACCGUGAGCCGCUUCGGCGGUGAGCCGGAUC